UAUGUAGGUCCCGAGCGUUGUCCGGAUUUAUUGGGCGUAAAGCGAGCGCAGGUGGUUUAUUAAGUCUGGUGUAAAAGGCAGUGGCUCAACCAUUGUAUGUAUUGGAAACUGGUAGACUUGAGUGCAGGAGAGGAGAGUGGAAUUCCAUGUGUAGCGGUGAAAUGCGUAGAUAUAUGGAGGAACACCGGUGGCGAAAGCGGCUCUCUGGCCUGUAACUGACACUGAGGCUCGAAAGCGUGGGGAGCAAACAGG
rnacentral:rRNA from 1 species